UGGGGAAUAUUGGACAAUGGGCGCAAGCCUGAUCCAGCCAUGCCGCGUGAGUGACGAAGGUCUUCGGAUUGUAAAGCUCUUUUGCCAGGGACGAUAAUGACGGUACCUGGAGAAUAAGCACCGGCUAACUACGUGCCAGCCGCCGCGGUAAUACGUAGGGUGCAAGCGUUAAUCGGAAUUACUGGACGUAAAGCGUGCGCAGGCGGUUGUGUAAGUCAGAUCGUGAAAUCCCCGGGCUCAACCUGGGAAUUGCAUUUGAUACUGGCAAUCUCGAGUCCGGAAGAGGUUAGUGGAAUUCCCAGUGUAGAGGUGAAAUUCGUAGAUAUUGGGAAGAACACCAGUGGCGAAGGCGGCUAACUGGUCCGGUACUGACGCUGAGGUGCGAAAGCGUGGGGAGCAAACAGGAUUAGAUACCCAUGUAGUCCCUGAGCGGGCUGGCAAGGCGCAU
rnacentral:rRNA from 1 species